AGAAGGAAUGGUACCAGCUCCUCCUUGUACCUCUGAUAGAAUUCGGCUGUGAAUCCAUCUGGUCCUGGACUUUGUUGGUUGGAGGUGAAGUAAUCUGCUGGAGGAGGGCCAGGAAUGUGAGAUGAGAGAUUUAAGGAGAGUGGAAGAGUGCCUUAACAACAACAGUAACAAAGAAGCAUUGUUGAGGCUCCACUGGAAACUGGUCAUGAAUGUGGUAGAACCAAGCUACCAUGUCAUGUGACACAGAAGUAAAUAGUUGGGCUCACCAAACUUCACGCUUUGUAAGUAAAUACAGUUAAAAGACAAGAGGUAGAAGAAUUUGGGAUUAUUGAAAAGAUGAAUUUUAUCACUGGAAUGGUGGCCUAAAAGCUCUAAUUUGGAUAAGAAUGAAAUAAAGAGAAUGAAAGCUGAUACAUUUGGGUAAACUGAAAUGGUCAGUGACCUAGAGGUCCCAAGUAAGGUCAAAAAAAAAAGCUGUAAUAUGGAGGUAGAGUUGAACCCCAUUUCAGACAAGCUGAAAAUGAGAGGGUUGUAGGGUCAGAGGUAGGUGCUAAAAUUUGUGAUAUUGGAAAUGGAGAGAUUACAGGUGAUAACAAUGUCUGAGUUGGAGCUGUGGUGUGGAUGACUUAGGUGCAUUGGAGAGUAAAGUCAGAAGGAGAGAAGGAACUGAGAGGCCUUUAUAUUGGCUGUUGAACCUGGGGCACUGAAGUAACUCAAAAUGAUGGCAGGCUUGGGGUAGAGAGAAGAAUGGUAAACCAAAGGCCAAUGUCUUUCACUGGCGGGGAGGUUAGAAUGGCCUAGCUGAGUGGCAUAGGCCUCAAGCAGGAGGUGGCU
rnacentral:lncRNA from 1 species